rnacentral:tRNA from 1 species
AGUGGUGGUUUGCCUAGGGGCGAUUUGAAGUCGUUUCUUUCUUCCGGUGGGGAGAUAUCCGCUA